rnacentral:rRNA from 1 species
UACAGAGGGUGCGAGCGUUGUCCGGAAUCCCUGGGCGUAAAGGGCGCGUAGGCGGCUUUUCACGCGUGCGGUGAAAGCUCGGGGCUUAACUCCGAGUCUGCCGUGCGAACGGGGAGGCUUGAGUCUGGUAGAGGUCGAUGGAAUUCCGGGUGUAGCGGUGGAAUGCGUAGAGAUCCGGAAGAACACCGGUGGCGAAGGCGGUCGACUGGGCCAGUACUGACGCUGAGGCGCGACAGCGUGGGGAGCAAACAGG